rnacentral:lncRNA from 1 species
CAACCUCCCCAUCCACCAAAGACUCACCAAGUGCUGUUGGAGCAACUUACGCCACCCUGCCAUCACCCCACGCUUUGCCAGUCCUCUGCCAAAAAGCCAUUCAAAUGGCAGGAACAAGAGAAGGAGAGAGUGACUGGGAGCCUAGCCAAACCAGAGUUGAUCAUCUUGAAAAAAGUGAUUUAAUAUUCAUGAAGCUUUUAAAAACAGUUCUUAGCACUUAGUAUGUGUGAAAUAAAUAAAGAAAUACACAAAUCAAUCAGCUCCCGAAUGACAAGCACAGGCGAGGCAGGACACUGGUCAUACGUGGCUGGCCUGUCUGGAGCUGCCUGGGUGCUGAUGCCCUGGGCAUCUGGCCGGCACCUUCUACCAGGGCUGGUGAAAUGUCCCUCCGGAGGAGCAGCAGCUCUUUAGGCCAUUUUAAGGGCUCCCUGCACAGGACGCACCAAGGCAUCCUCAGCCAAGUGCCCACGGUCGUGCCAGCUCGGGUCAAAGGCUGCUGUCACAUCGGGGCUUCUGACUGCACCAUUGUGUCUCGACAAUGGCCAUCGGACCAGGUAUUGGGGAUGCGAAGGUGGGGCUGGGAGAGCCUACUUGAUCAUUCUCCUCCUUGGGUGAACCAGGUGUGACUCAGAUCAAAGGGGUUGUAGAAUUACUUCAAGUUUAAAUGGAGCCAGCCCCUCAACCCCUUCCUCCCUGUGCAGGUGACUCACUAGGAGGGAACCUUGUUUAGCUGCUUCUUCCUCCCUUAAGAUGCAGGCCUCAGCCUUGGCCACUUAAGAACCACCUGUGGGCUGGGUGCAGUGGCUCACACCUGUAAUCCCAGCACUUUGGGAGACUAAGGCUUGCGGAUCACCUGAGGUCAGGAGUUUGAGACCAGACUGACCAACAUGGUGAAACCCUGUCUCUACUAAAAAUACAGAAAUUAGCCAGGCGUGGUGGUGCACGCCUGUGAUCCCAGCUACUUGGGAGGCUGAGGCAGGAAAAUCACUUGAACCUGGGAGGCAGAGGUUGCAGUGAGCCAAGAUUUCACCUCUGCCCUCCAGACUGGGCAAUAGAGCAAGACCCCAUCUCAAAAAAAAAAAAAAAAAAGAUCCACCUGGGGCUGGAGAGGCGUGAGUCCCAGAUUGCACCCAGGCCAACUGGAGUGCCCAGGUGAUGUCAGUGUGUACCCACGGCUGACAACUGACACUCCGCAAAGGAUGGCUGAGUCCUGUAGUAUGAAUGACAACAGACAGGCCCAUCCCCCCGGGGGCAAAGGAGUAGACAGGACCAGGGAAAGCCACAGGCUGGACGAUGCAACACUAAAGCCAAGAGUGAACUGUAGCACAAAGGUAUCAUAGCAUGCAGGGCGGAGGAUCCCAAGAAAGCAUCCAAGAUUUCAAAUUUUCUGAACACUGAGAAAGCGCUGAGGAAAUUGGGCCUGACAAGCACCAAAGACUCUGUUGAAACACAGGACACUGGCAGCUUCAGGCAGCGCCUCUAUAAUAGAGCAGUCACUGGGAUGUGCUGGUGUUUAGGUCUGGUGGGGGCAGCUCUCCACAGGUCUCUCACAUUUUUGCACAUCUUGCAGACAGAGGAGCUGAUGGCCCUUUCUCUGGACCAUCCUCUCAAGGGUGCUUCUACAGCAAGCGCCUUGGAAGACGGGGACAUGGUCUCCCCUGGAGCAGAGAGCAGGUGUGAUUACUGCCCAUGACAAAACGCUUGGGUCUCGGAAGCCCAGGCUUCCUCUCCCACAGUGCAGCCCGCUGAGUGGACAGGCAUCUGUUCAGGCCCAACUGUGCUGCCCCUGCUGGCUAGGGGACGAGGGAAUUGAUGUAAACAUGCUGAAGCUCCCGCUGCCUGCUGGCCUCCCAUCCUGGAGUGCCCUCUUUUCUGCCAGCACCCAUGAAAAUGUUGAGGGCUAACACACAUGCAACCUCAAACCUCAGUCUGCUUUCAGUUCUUGACAAAGAUAAGUGUCUACAACUAAAUUUGAUAUGACAUAUUAGUGAGUUUUAAACCACUAUUAAUUCUGCACAUAUAACACCUGGAUAUCAAGCAACUUUGAUUUGAAAAAGAAAAUUAAGUUGGACGUUCUUAUUCUUGAUUGAAUAAGACGUUUGCGCUAUUGCCUAAGUCUGCAGUGGCACACCACAGAGGUCCGUGAGUCUGCAGGAUUGGUGAGCGGGCCUCUGGGUGUUGGGAGGGAAUGAAUGUCCUCGAGAAGUUUCUGACCUUCCUACCUUUUCCAGAAGGGGAGAGGCUCUCUGGCUGUGGGGUCACCCCUGCCGUCGUUACUGUGGAGGGUGGCGCUGGCCUUUGGUGAACCAGGGCAGGGUCUCCUAGAGAGAGGAUAACCACAUGGCACUUAUGAUCCUGAGCCUGGAACCUGGGCUGGCUUCAGAACGGGAUACAAAUAAAAUAUAUCAACACAUGAACUUACAGUGGAGGCCUCUGGCUUCCUCAGACAGGUUAAAAGCAUAAGAAACAAUGUUUCCCCACCCGAAUGCAAAGAUAGACUGCAAACUAUUUUUCUUGCAUUUCCAAAAAGACUGCACAAGUUAAAUAUCAAAUUUAUUUUGGCUGAGAUUAUAUUAAUGAUAUCAAUUCAAUUUUAUAAUGCUGGUUAUUCUUGGGAGAAUAAAUGAUCACUCAAUAGAUUCUAUUUUGUUUGUUUGAGACAGGGUCUUGCUCCGUUGCCCAGGUUGGAGUGCAGUAGUGUGAUCACAACUCACUGCAGCCUUGACCUCCCGGGCUCAAGAGAUCCUCCUGCCUCAGUCUCCUGAGUAGCUGGGACUACAUGUACGUGCCUCAAUGCCCAGUUUUAGGACUCGAGAAGACAUCUGGCCUCUUCUGUCUCCUGCAUUGACACCGCCUGUGUUCAGGAUUUCAUCACCACCCACCAGAACGAUUUCAAAAACCUCAAUGCAGCUCCUAUUCUCUGGAGUCUCCUGACUACAGUUCAUUCUUCACACUCUGAACAAGAGCAACCUUUCCACCAUGCAGCUCCAGUAAUGCUCCCCUGCACAGAAACCCUCAGGGACUCCCCACUGCACAGAAGGGAAUCAUGCCUUUCCAAGAAGAAGCAUUCAAAUCACAUCAACUAUGUCCAAUGAGCAACACUGAUAUGACUCCCACGAUAUAUACUGAGGAGUUUCAUAUAUAUUUAUUCAUUUAGAUACAUAUUAUUAUUACUGUUAUUAUUUUUAUUGUUAUUUUUGAGACAGAGUCUCGCUUUGUCGCCCAGGCUGGAAUGCAGUGGACAAGUGUUUGUGAGUUGGACAAGCUUUCGUAAAGUCAUGAAAACAUUGCCAGACAAGAUCAGCUAUAAUUAAAGAUGAAUUAGAAAAAACUCCAAAAUUCUGGAUCUUAAUUGUGCUAUUUCUUUUGUAAUUUUAUUUAUUUACUUUUCUUAUUACAAAACAAUUCAAAUUAUGGCAGAAAAAUAAGAAAGGGCAGACAACUGCAUACAUGCCCACAUAUGACCAACACAUGACAUCUUCCCCAUUCAAUGACAACUACUUCUUGAUCUUCUUCUAGUAAAAAAAUGAAUCAUAUGAUGUCUACUACUUGAAAACAACUCCAUUUUAUUUACUCAGUCCUCCGCUGUUUAAAAUUUAUGUUGAUUUUGACAAAUCUCAUGUUUUAUACACUCACGUUUUCACCACUUUUUUGCUAUCAGUAGAGGCAAAGAAGCAGUAACAACUAGAUAAAAUGGAUAGGAAAUAAAAAAUAAAAGGUUUGGGAAAAGACCCCUAAAGUUCUGAAAAAUGGCUUAAAAAUACUUAAAGACACAUGAAAAGUUGUGAAAACAACCCCAAGUGCACUUACACCUUACAUAAAAAAAGCGAACUGAAAUUGGUGGCUAGGGAUAUUUGUCUUCAAACAAAGCAGUCUUCUCAGUUGCUUCUGGCCAUCGCCCGCAAUCUUUCAGACUGAAAUGCUCUCUAAGAAGUCAGUGACCUUCUACCCAACAUAAUGGACGCCCCUGCACAUCAGGCCUUUUAAAUAAGAACAGACUGGCAACAACUUGUUGUGCAUAGUAGCACAAGAAGGAGACUUUGCACCUUAGUGAUAUUGAUUUGUCCAACCCAUGAACAUGGUAUAUCUCUCCAUUGAUUUUGUUCCUUAAUUUCUCUAAGCAAUGCUUUGUAGUUUUCCAUAUAUGAAAGAUGUCUUUCACAUCUUUUGUUAGAUUUAUCCGUAAGUAUCUAAUGCUUUUUAAUGUUAUUUCAAAUGACUUUUUAAAGUUUUUUAAUUUCUAAUUGUUCAUUGUGAAUGUAUAGAAAUAGAACUGAUUUUUGUGUAGUGGUGUUUUGUAUACUGCAACCAACUUAGACACAUAUGGCUGACUGAUGUUCAAAAGGUAUAAGAGAAGGUCAGUGAAGAUAAUCUUUUCAAUAAAGGGUGCUGGAAUAAUUGGAUAUGCAUAUAUAGAAACAAACAAAAUCCCAAAACAACCUUUAAUUCAUGCCUCACAUUAUAAACAAAAAUUAAUUCAAAAUGGAUCACAGCCAUAAAUGUAAACCCUAAAGCUAUAAAACUUCUAGAGGAACACAUAGAAGUAAACCUUUGUAACCUUAGGCUAGGCAAAUAUUUCUUAGAUAUGACACCAAAAGCCCAAAACACAACAUAACAAAUUAAUAAAUUAGACUUCAUAAAAAUUAAAAACUUCUGCUUUUCAAAAGACACUGCUAAGAGAAAGGAUAAGCCACAGAAUCUGAGAAAAUAUUUGCAAAUCAUAUACCUGAUUAGGGCCUCGUAUCCAGAAUAUAUAAAGAACUCUCAAAAUUCAGUAAUGAUACAAUUCAAUUUUUUAUACAUAAGACAGAGUCAGAAA